UAGUCCACGCCCUAAACGAUGCUAACUCGAUGUUUGAACUUCGGUUUGAGUGGCUAAGCGAAAGUGAUAAGUGACCCACCUGGGGAGUACGUUCGCAAGAAUAAAACUCAAAGGAAUUGACGGGGGCCCGCACAAGCGGUGGAGCAUGUGGUUUAAUUCGAUGCUACGCGAAGAACCUUACCUGGGCUUGACAUCCCGCGCUACCCUGUGAAAGCAGGGGUUCCCUUCGGGGACGCGGUGACAGGUGCUGCAUGGCUGUCGUCAGCUCGUGUUGUGAGAUGUUGGGUUAAGUCCCGCAACGAGCGCAACCCUCGCCGUUAGUUACCAUCAUUAAGUUGGGCACUCUAACGGGACCGCUAGGCUAUAAGCCAGAGGAAGGUGGGGAUGACGUCAAGUCCUCAUGGCCUUUAUGUCCAGGGCUACACACGUGCUACAAUAGGGAAGGACAAAGUGCUGCAAGCUCGCAANAGCAAGCAAAUCACAAAAAACCUUUCCUCAGUUCGGAUUGGAGU
rnacentral:rRNA from 1 species